CAACCCUCAAGCUCUGCUUGGUGUUGGGCCCCGCCGCCCCGGCGGGCCCUAAAGUCAGUGGCGGUGCCGUCCGGCUCCGAGCGUAGUAAUUCUUCUCGCUUUGGAGGCCCGGGCGCGUGCUUGCCAUCAACCCCCAAUUUUUUUCA
rnacentral:misc_RNA from 1 species